UUGUUGGGCAGAGACGACCCCUGAAAUAGCGCGAAAUCAGACGCAGACGCCGUGUCGUAUUGGUGCUCGACGGUAGCGGUGGAUUCUUCACUUUUCUAGGUUCUUCUCCUCCUGCUUCUCUCUCCUGACUCCGAGGUUGAGAAGAAUCGCUGGUUCUUGUUACAGCAGGUUUCCCAAGAACGAAUCUUUAAGACGCUUUGUGUCUUCCCAUCCUCAUCUGCGAUGGAUUACAGUGGAGAGCGGAAUCUGCCAAAUCAGUUUGCAAACAAAACUCCUCAAAAUCAGGCCAUGGAAAAUAGAGAGAGUUAUCAGACUGUUGAUACCUGGAACCAGCUUGGGUUUGAUGAGAAGAAGGCUGCAGUUCACAAGGAGAUGAAGAGAAUGAAUCAAUUGCCUGCAAACAGCUCAUAUGCAACCCAUCGCCUGAAGGUUCUCAAUAAGGUUUUGCAACUAUUGACAAUACAGAGAACGGUAUCACAAGAUGAGGAGCUGGAAUUGCUUUUUGCUAGCCUGUCUCUGUGAUGGAAUUUCCUGGAACUAGUUAGUGCCAAUCAGUUUGACGCUACACUCUCAGAUUUGAUUUGGAACAGGUGCUGAGUUCCUACGGUCCCACAUGAUCAACACUGUAAAUAUGUUAAAUAGGCAUGUCUAGAAGUGUCAUUAAGCUGGUAGCAGCAUGUACACUGAGUUAUUGAGGAAUUACAUUGCCUUCUUUUCUCCAUGUAUCCAUUGGCAAAACUAAUCAUCUGGCAACAAAAUGGGAAAUGUUACAUUAUCUCUUAACCAUGUUGGAAGCGAUGCUUUUCUCUGCAUUUGGGUUUGACUCUUUUGGAGUUUGUCCGCUGCUUGUUGUACUGUUUGGAGUCGAGCAUUUUGGGCAAUAGGCAUGGUGUUCGGGUUAUCCAUGACAUGUAUUUUAGAUUAUUCCUCAGACAUUUUGAUUCCUAUACAACCUGUCUGCUGCUGUCUUUGCGGUGUAUUUCAUCUCAUGCCUCAUGGAGCUAUCAUUAACAACAGGCGGGUUUUCUGAAA